rnacentral:lncRNA from 1 species
ACUGUUAUAACAUUCUUGUGUAAUACUCCCUCCGUCCCAGCCAAUUCUUUACGUUUGGUUUGGACACGGAGGUUAAGAAAUAUGUAUAAAGUAGUGGAAAAGAGAAAGAAAAGUGGGUGAAGUGGCGGGACCCAUCAAUUUUUAAUGUAUAAAAAAGAGAUAGUGGAGUAAAAGUAGUGUGAAAAGGGAGUAAAAGUAGUGUGAAAAGGAAGGAAAAGUUGGGAAGUAGUGGGACCCAUUUACUAUUUUUGGUAAGUUUUGAAAUGUAAAGAAUUGGAUGGGACAUCCCAAAAAGGAAACUGUAAAGAAUCUGGUGGGACGGAGGGAGUACUAAUAUAGCCUAAGAAGAAACUAUUGUACUAAUAAAUCACCAACCUCAACAGAUCGAUCUGUGUCAGUGAUUUGGACAUAUCUGAGCAAAACCAAAUCCAAUAUAUAAUAUGAUUUGUAAAGCAUGAAAAAAUUUCAAAGUAAGAUACAUAAUUAUAUAUAUAUAACCACCAGGGAAUAUCCUUCUGUAUCAGCUGACAGGCUAGAUUAUAGGCACUUGGUUUUUACCUCUUCAAUCCACCAUCCGCUAACACCGAAAUCAUCUAGCAGUUGGGCAGCCAUAAUAUAAAUAUUGAAAAAAAGGUCAUCUCUGGGUUUGUAACUCCAGGAUUGAUUAUUUAUGACAAUUAAAAAUCCUGAUUAGGUAUAUUUACCCUAUUUAAGUAAUCUAUGGCCUU